rnacentral:rRNA from 1 species
GACGAACGCUGGCGGCGUGCUUAACACAUGCAAGUCGAACGGAAAGACCCUGCUUUUGUGGGGUGCUCGAGUGGCGAACGGGUGAGUAACACGUGAGUAACCUGCCCUUGUCUUUGGGAUAACUUCAGGAAACUGGGGCUAAUACCGGAUAGGAGCUCCUGAUGCAUGGGGGGGGUUGGAAAGUUUCGGCGGUGGGGGAUGGAUUCGCGGGUUAUCAGCUUGUUGGUGGGGUAGUGGCUUCCCAAGGGUUUGACGGGUAGCCGGCCUGAGAGAGUGACCGGGGACAUGGGUACUGAGGGACGGACCAGACUCCAACGGGAGGCAGCAGUGGGGAACAUUGCGCAACGGGCGGACGCGUGAUGCAGCAGCGCUGGGUGCGGGAUGCCGGCUUUCGGGUUGUAAACCGCUUUCGCCUGUGACGAAGCGUGAUUGACGGUAAUGAGUAAAGAAGCACCGGCUAACUACGUG